rnacentral:rRNA from 1 species
CCUACGGGACGCAGCAGUGAGGAAUAUUGGUCAAUGGGAGAGAUCCUGAACCAGCCAAGCCGCGUGAGGGAAGACGGCCCAAUGGGUUGCAAACCUCUUUUGCCGGAGAACAAAACCCGGGACGAGUCCCGGCCUGAGUGUAUCCGAAGAAAAAGCAUCGGCUAACUCCGUGCCAGCAGCCGCGGUAAUACGGAGGGUGCGAGCGUUAUCCGGAUUUAUUGGGUUUAAAGGGUGCGCAGGCGGUCCGUUAAGCCAGCGGUAAAAUUGCGGGGCUCAACCCCGCCGAGCCGUUGAAACUGGCAGCC